AAACCAUUCUUUUUUUAGCUUAUCAUUUUUUUAUUGAGAGUCAUGGCCAUGGCUGCCGAAGCUCACGGACGAGCUCAAGUUUGGAAGAAGAGAAAUUAAAUUCUAGAGGUGAUUUACAAGUUCAAGGAGACAAUAGCAACAUUGGAUAUUGAAUUGGGGAAGAGGAAAUUGCAAAAUUGGAGCAAUUAAGAGUAGAAAUUCCUCCGAGAAAAUUAAGGCUUUCUUCGAAGUGAAGUAAGGUGGAAGGAGAUUAUUUCUUGGCAUAUGAUGUUUAUCAUAUUAAUUGUGGAAGUUCUUGGCUGGACUGAGCUCUUGAACGACGUAAGGUUUAUCAUAUUAAUUGUGGAAGUUCUUGGCUGGACUGAGCUCUUGAACGACGUAAGGUAUGUAAAGACUAUCCCUUCUUCCUUUUGGCAUGUCCUAGAUGUAAGUAAGAUAUGAUAUGAGCCUUGGGGUAAUUCUACUCUCUAGUUCCAAGCAUGACUCAUGAUUUUCAUUCCUUUCUUGAUGUUAGAACUUUCAGGAUAGUCGAGAUAUUGCCUCGAGUCUAUUAUAUGAUUGACUAAUAUAUGAUGUAUAGAAGUUCCUAUUCUUAAAGGAUUCCAUAAUUAGAGGUGUCCUUGACUUUCGUAAGCUCCCUCAUGUUAAUUUGAUACAUGUAUAUGAUCCCUGAAACGUUCCUUGUUAUAGUUUGUAAUGACAUUUAGAAAGAACUUAAUAUGAUUGUUAUCCUGAUACUUGAGAGUUGAUUAGUUUACUUAUCUAUUGAGUCUCAAAAGAUGAUUUGUAUGUAUUUGGUUGCUUAUCACUCUGCUCAUCCUUACCGCUACAUCCUUCACUGAGUCCCGGGCCAGGACAUGUUUUCGUGCACAGAUCCACUGCAUUAUUCACCGAGUCCCUCACUAGAGGGCCGGGACACGUUAUAUAUAUGUAUAUGAUGAUAUGGUGAUAUGAUGAUAUGGGGAUGGCGACCAGGAUGGCACAUGAUGAUCUUAUUCACCGAGUCCCUCACUAGAGGGCCGGGACACGUUAUAUAUAUACAUGACGAUGAUAUGAUUUUAUUUACCGAGUCCCUCACUAGAGGGCCGGGACAUGUUGUACAUAUGCAUAUGAACAGGAUGAUUCUCUAAUGGUGACAUUAAGUUUCAUAACGAGUUAAGUCUGAUAUUGACACCAUGAUUUAUGAUUCAAAGGUAAGCCUUGUGGGUUUCUGGUUAUUGUACUGGUUUUCUGUACUCCUCACUUCAGUAUGAUCCUGUUUAUUGUAUUUUUUCUUUACAUGCUCAGUACAUAUUCCGUACUGACCCCCUUUCUUCGGGGGGCUGUGUUCAUGCCCGCAGGUACAGAUGCUCACGCUGGUAACCCGCCAGCUUAGGAGUCCUAUUAAGCUAUCUUAGAGAGCUCCCUUGUUCCGGAGCCUAGAUUUUGGUAGAAAAUCUCUUGUGGUGUAUAUGUAUUUUAUCCAGGGGUACGGCGGGGCCCUGUCCCGUCAUAUGAUAUUGUCGUUACUCUUAGAGGUUUGUAGACAUAUGUGUGGGUUGUGUAUCGAUGUUGUUCAGUUGUGUAGAUAUGGCUUAUGUUUUGGGACGUUCCCAUUCG